CGGUGCAGAUCCAUCGUCUCCAAUCUAGAAUACUACCUGCACUUCUUCGGCUCCUUUGAGAACUUCCCCCGGCCUCUUAAGCGCGACCACGGCUCAUGCCUUCUCUCGGCCGACCUCGAGAGGGUGGUCAAGCCCAAUGUCUCGUUCCUGCGUGAGUGCGGGCUAGGUGAUUGCGAUAUUGCCAAGUUGAGCAUCUCUCAGCCAUGGAUGCUCGCAGCCAACCCAGAGCGCCUCCAGGCAAUGGUGUCAUGCGCAGAAGGCAUAGGUGUACCCCGUGGGUCUCCGAUGUUCAAGCAUGCGUUACAAGCUGUUGCAUUCCUCAGCGAGGAGAAAAUCACCACCAAAGUGGAGCACUUGAAGAAAACCUUCAAGUGGUCGGAUGCUGAGGUGGGCAUUGCUGUUUCUAAGGCUCCAACAGUGCUACAUAGGACUAAGGAAUCGCUGCAGCGCAGGUCUGAGUUCCUCAUCUCCGAGGUGGGGUUGGAACCGGCAUAUAUUGCUUGUCGUCCGGUAAUACUCAUGUACAGCUUGGAGGGCCGGCUCAGGCCCCGAUACUACGUCAUCAGAUUUCUCAAGGAAAAUGGAUUGCUAGAUCACGACCGGGACUACUAUGCUGCAGUCAUGAUCAGCGAGAAGGUAUUCGUCGAGAAGUUCAUAUGCCCUCAUAAGGAUGCUGCACCGCAUCUCGCUGAAGAUUAUGCAACAGCUUGCAGAGCGGAGGUUCCAGCUAGAUUCAGUUUUACAUGA
rnacentral:rRNA from 1 species